rnacentral:rRNA from 1 species
UACGGAGGGUGCGAGCGUUUGUCCGGAAUCACUGGGCGUAAAGGGCGCGUAGGCGGCCCUGGCAGUCGGUGGUGAAAGCCCGCGGCUCAACUGCGGGUCGGCCACCGAUACUCCAGGGCUCGAGUUUGGUAGAGGCAGAUGGAAUUCCGGGUGUAGCGGUGGAAUGCGUAGAGAUCCGGAAGAACACCGGUGGCGAAGGCGGCAUCCUGGACCGACAUUGACGCUGAA